UACGGAGGGUGCAAGCGUUAUCCGGAUUCACUGGGCGUAAAGCGCACGUAGGCGGAUCUUUAAGUCAGGGGUGAAAUCCUGGAGCUCAACUCCAGAACUGCCUUUGAUACUGGGGAUCUCGAGUCCGGAAGAGGUGAGUGGAACUCCGAGUGUAGAGGUGAAAUUCGUAGAUAUUCGGAAGAACACCAGUGGCGAAGGCGGCUCACUGGUCCGGUACUGACGCUGAGGUGCGAAAGCGUGGGGAGCAAACAGG
rnacentral:rRNA from 1 species